CCCGGCCGCGCCGCCCCGCCCCGGCCCCCCCGCCGCCGCCGGGACCAGCCCCCAGCGCCGCCCGCCCGGACGCGGCUGCCGCCGGCGGGACGAGGAGCCUGGCCGGUCGCACCAUGAGCAGCGUCCCCGCCGACAGGGAGGGCGGCCCCGCCGACACCAGCCUGCCCGAGGAGGAGGUGAGGACACUCUUUGUCAGCGGGUUGCCUCUGGACAUCAAGCCUCGGGAACUUUACCUGCUCUUCAGACCCUUUAAGGGGUACGAAGGGUCUCUCAUCAAACUCACCUCCAAGCAGCCCGUGGGCUUCGUCAGCUUCGACAGCCGCUCCGAGGCGGAGGCAGCGAAGAACGCGCUGAACGGCAUCCGCUUCGACCCCGAGAUCCCCCAGACGCUGCGGCUGGAGUUUGCCAAGGCCAACACCAAGAUGGCCAAGAACAAGCUGGUGGGCACCCCAAAUCCCAGCACCCCUCUCCCCACCGCCGUACCUCAGUUCAUCGCCCGGGAGCCCUAUGAGCUCACAGUGCCUGCACUUUACCCCAGUAGCCCUGAAGUGUGGGGGCCGUACCCUCUGUACCCAGCGGAAUUAGCACCUGCUCUACCUCCUCCUGCUUUCACCUAUCCCGCUUCGCUGCACGCCCAGAUGCGCUGGCUCCCUCCCUCCGAGGCUGGUUCUCAGGGCUGGAAGUCCCGUCAGUUCUGCUGAAUGCCGGGUCUCAGGUGUGUGAUGGUGGCCUACAGUCAGUCUUGUGGGUAUUAAUGGAGUCUUCCAAGGUGGCUACUGGGUUGGUGUGCUCUCCACAGGACCUCAGUGUGCUGGCUUGAAAAAAAACCUCACACAAGUAUGGAUUCCUCCAAGACUUUCCCACAGCCUCUAUCACACAUCUGCUCUCCUAGAAGAAAAAAGAAAAAACAUACCUAGUAAUAAUAUUUUCCUCUUUUACACUGUAUAUUUGUAAGGAAGAGUGUGUUACUCCCGAAAGCAUGGUUUGACAGGCAUUGUUGUAGUGUUUGAAAAAGCUUUUCAAAUGGAACCAUAGGAAAGCAGACUAUUAAAAAAAAAAGAAGAAGAAAAAAAAGAAGAAAAAAAAAAGAAAUAAACCAAAACAAGAGCAAGUAUUUUUGUACCAAAGCUCCUCAAGAGGACAAUCUUACACCGGACCACAGGUUUUGUGCUUGACUUUCGAGGUGUGUAAAGAAGAGUCUUAUUAUCCCCUGGCCCCGGCAGCUGCAUGUGGAAGGCACCAUGCUCCCAAGCGCGAGGAUGUCGACACGCACGAUGCGGGUUUGUAGGAACUAUGCUCUGGCCGUGCUGGCAAGGCGUCUGCAGACACUACAGUAUUACUGUUUUCUUCCCAGUUGCACCAACUGACGAGCAGGCAGGACGACCAGGAACUUCCUUCCCAUGUUAUUUUUACCUUGGGGCUGUGUUCAUAGCUGCUGUGCAAAGCUUCCGUGGGGUACAGCAGCUCGGAUCAGGGACGGGCAGGCAGCCCACACACGUAGCAAGGUGACAAUUUGCCUCCUCCUCCUCCUCCUGCCAUGACUGCUCCAAGCUGUUACAGGCAAUGUAAACUGCUGUAUGAAAAAGCAUACCAACAAAUCCUUGGUUUGCCAGCUUCCUCCAGGUCGGACAUGAGUCCUGAGGGGCUUCCCGUUACGCUGAAGCGCUGGCCUGGCCUGGCCUGUGGUUUUAGCGCUGAUGUUACGCUGGUCCAGCUGCUCCCUGCGUGGCAUUCCCAUGUUUAAAGAUGAGAAGGGAAGCUGCCAACAUCCUUUACAGAGAUAAAGUACCAACAGAGAGACUGCUUGACUUACUAGUUCUCCUUCUCCUUGCUCCAGGAGGGAUUCAGAAAAAGAAGAGAGCAAACUGACCCAAAACCUCCAUCAGGCUGCGGUUUCUUGCAAAGGGAGGUGCAGAGCUUCUCCUUCCAUUGCCUUUCCCCCAUCUCCAUUCCAGCUGCAGGGAACACUGUGCUCAGCUGCUGCCCAGGCCUCACCGUAGCCGGUUUUUCCCAGCUGUUUGUGGCCUCGUUAAACAUCAUCACCUUUUCCUUUCUCCUUCCUCUUGUCCUGUGGGUGGGCCGAAAUAAGAUGGCUGAGAUUCUGGCCGUCGGGGUGGGACAGGGGGAUGAAAAAAUGGGGUUUUUCACCAUCAGAAACUGUCCCGUUGGGGUCUUCUGUAAAAAAUGGGCCUGAUAAAAGUGAUGUGAGAAGAAAUCAAAUCCAAGACAAACCUCAGAGCGGCUCCAAAAGGAACGAUACCAGCGUUCCCAAGCGACGGACUAACUCUUUUAGCAAACUAUUUCCUGUACUUUGUCUUGUGGAGAGGAGAGAAGCUUCCACAUUGUCUACUCUGCUUUUGGAAAUAUGUUUAAAGGUACUUUUCUAUUGUAAUUUUUUAAAAAUAAAACCGGUGAUUAUUGUAAGUUA